GAGGAAAAGAAACCAACAGGGAUUGCCUCAGUAACGGCGAGUGAAGCGGCAAAAGCUCAAAUUUGAAAUCCCCCGGGAAUUGUAAUUUGAAGAGAUUUGGGUCCGGCCGGCAGGGGUUAAGUCCACUGGAAAGUGGCGCCACAGAGGGUGACAGCCCCGUGAACCCCUUUAACGCCUUCAUCCCAGAUCUCCAAGAGUCGAGUUGUUUGGGAAUGCAGCUCUAAGUGGGUGGUAAAUUCCAUCUAAAGCUAAAUACCGGCGAGAGACCGAUAGCGAACAAGUACAGUGAUGGAAAGAUGAAAAGCACUUUGAAAAGAGAGUGAAAAAGUACGUGAAAUUGUUGAAAGGGAAGGGCUUGCAAGCAGACACUUAACUGGGCCAGCAUCGGGGCGGCGGGGAGCAAAACCACUGGGGAAUGUACCUUUCGAGGAUUAUAACCCCGGUCCUUACUCCCUCACCACCCCGAGGCCUGCAAUCUAAGGAUGCUGGCGUAAUGGUUGCAAGUCGCCCGUC
rnacentral:rRNA from 1 species